rnacentral:rRNA from 1 species
CCACACCUAAAAAACUUUUCACGUGAACCGUAUCAACCCUUUUAGUUGGGGGUCUUGCUUUUUGCGAGCCCUAUCAUGGCGAAUGUUUGGACUUCGGUCUGGGCUAGUAGCUUUUUGUUUUAAACCCAUUCUACAAUACUGAUUAUACUGUGGGGACGAAAGUCUCUGCUUUUAACUAGAUAGCAACUUUCAGCAGUGGAUGUCUAGGCUCGCACAUCGAUGAAGAACGCUGCGAACUGCGAUACGUAAUGCGAAUUGCAGGAUUCAGUGAGUCAUCGAAAUUUUGAACGCAUAUUGCACUUCCGGGUUAGUCCUGGGAGUAUGCCUGUAUCAGUGUCCGUACAUCAAACUUGGCUUUCUUCCUUCCGUGUAGUCGGUGGAGGAUGUGCCAGAUGUGAAGUGUCUUGCGGGUGUCCUUCGGGUCGUCUGCGAGUCCUUUGAAAUGUACUGAACUGUACUUCUCUUUGCUCGAAAAGCGUGGUGUUGCUGGUUGUGGAGGCUGCCUGCGUGGCCAGUCGGCGACCGGUUUGUCUGCUGCGGCGUUUAAUGGAGGAGUGUUCGAUUCGCGGUAUGGUUGGCUUCGGCUGAACAGGCGCUUAUUGUAUGCUUUUCCUGCUGUGGCGUGAUGGGCUGGUGAACCGUAGCUGUGUGUGGCUUGGCUUUUGAAUCGGCUUUGCUGUUGCGAAGUAGAGUGACGGCUUCGGCUGUCGAGGGUCGAUCCAUUUGGGAACUUUGUGUGCACCUCGGUGCGCAUCUCAA